AACGGCCGUACCAUGCUGAAUAUACCGGUUCUCGUUAGAUCACCGAAGUCAAGCAUCAUUGGGCGUGGUCAGUACUUGGGUGGUGACCACCUGGGAACACCGCCUGCCGU
rnacentral:rRNA from 1 species